UACGUAGGGGGCUAGCGUUGUCCGGAAUCAUUGGGCGUAAAGCGCGCGUAGGCGGCCAGAUAAGUCCGGUGUGAAAGUCAAAGGCUCAACCUUUGAAUGCCGCUGGAAACUGUCUGGCUUGAGUCCGGGAGGGGCGAGUGGAAUUCCUGGUGUAGCGGUGAAAUGCGCAGAUAUCAGGAGGAACACCGAUGGCGAAGGCAGCUCGCUGGGACGGUACUGACGCUGAGACGCGAAAGCGUGGGGAGCGAACAGG
rnacentral:rRNA from 1 species